rnacentral:rRNA from 1 species
CGACUAUGGACGCAGCUGAUCAGCACGCCGCGUGAGUGAUGAGGUCUUCGGUACGUAAACUUCUUUCGAGUGGGUAGAUAAAUGACGGUACCAUUUAUAAGGUCCGGCUAACUACGUGCCAGCAGCCGCGGUAAUACUACGUGCCAGCAUAUACGAUAAUAA